UACCGCAAGGAGUGUAAUUUGUAGGGCAUUUGGAUAAAAUGAAAUGUAAUGCGUCGUGCAUUACACAUCACGUGCAUUUGUGAUGGGGAUUGGUGAUUGCAAUUAUUCCCCACGAAUGAGGAAUUCCCAGUAAGAGUGGGGCAUAAACUCGCUUUGAUUAAGUCCCUG
rfam:Aptenodytes forsteri contig74747, whole genome shotgun sequence.